rnacentral:lncRNA from 1 species
UUCACCUUUGGUUUCGAUAACUUAUAAAUACUCUCUAUGUGAAACAAAUACCAGAUAUAACACAUCAUAUGAAACACCUGAGGGAGACAUUUCUCCUCCACAUAAAUGUAUAGCCUGCCCUAAGUGGUGGUCCCUUGUCCUUCCUGGAUUGUUUUUUCUUAUUAAUUCCUCAGUGGUAGCUCCCUCAAGUUGAACUAGUAUAUACUGUCCAAUUAUAAGCCCCUAUCUACUCCAAAUUACACUCAUCAGUCUGCUAAAUACUCCUUUCAAAGCUCAGUACCAAUUUACAAAGAAAACUCCACAAGACUUAUUUUUAAUCCCACAUCCUGCAUGAAGAACAGACCAUUGGUGUACUCAUUCAUUCUCUCACUCAGUGAACACUUAGAGAAUCAGGAGAUUAUGACAAGCACAUGCUGGGCCCAGACCUGGACAAUUUAACCCCGUUUCCAAAAUCUAGGCCAUGCUUGUGUCUUCCAUACUUAAAGCUACAGAGUAUCUGUUCAGUACAAUACUUGCUUCCUGAAAUUUUUUUGGCCCUGCCUGCAGUUAUUCUGAUCUUCCAUACUGGUGAAGCAGUUGGUAGUUGUUCAUCAGCACAAAAACAGUGCAGAUUCCUUCAUUUUCAUUUUGUUAAAGAGUCCAAAUUUUCAUUUUGAUGAAUUCUAAAAACAUGCAUCUGAUGAAUCUUAAAAAUAUGUAUGUGAAUCUCUAAAGUAUUAACAGCAGACACAGCAGGCA